UACGUAGGGCGCAAGCGUUGUCCGGAAUCAUUGGGCGUAAAGAGCUCGUAGGCGGCCUGUUGCGUCCGCUGUGAAAUCCCGGGGCUUAACCCCGGGCGUGCAGUGGAUACGGGCUGGCUGGAGGCAGGCAGGGGAGAACGGAAUUCCCGGUGUAGCGGUGAAAUGCGCAGAUAUCGGGAGGAACACCGGUGGCGAAGGCAAUCCCCUGGACCUGUACUGACGCUCAUGCACGAAAGCGUGGGGAGCAAACAGG
rnacentral:rRNA from 1 species